GAUGAACGCUGGCGGCGUGCUUAACACAUGCAAGUCGAACGAUGAAGCCCAGCUUGCUGGGUGGAUUAGUGGCGAACGGGUGAGUAACACGUGAGUAACCUGCCCUUGACUCUGGGAUAAGCCUGGGAAACUGGGUCUAUACUGGAUAUGAUCUUCCAUCCCUUGGGUGGGGGGGGAAAGGUUUAUUGGUUUUGGAUGGACCCGCGGCCUAUCAGCUUGUUGGUGGGGUAAUGGCUCACCAAGGCGACGACGGGGAGCCGGCCUGAGAGGGUGACCGGCCACACUGGGACUGAGACACGGCCCAGACUCCUACGGGAGGCAGCAGUGGGGAAUAUUGCACAAUGGGCGCAAGCCUGAUGCAGCGACGCCGCGUGAGGGAUGACGGCCUUCGGGUUGUAAACCUCUUUCAGUAGGGAAGAAGCGAGAGUGACGGUACCUGCAGAAGAAGCGCCGGCUAACUACGUG
rnacentral:rRNA from 1 species